GGAGGGACCCCUGCGGGGAGGGGGGGCUUUAGGGUCACUGAAACCUUGGGUCCUUUUGGGGGUGUCCCAGUCCUUGGGGAUCCCUUUGGGAGGGGGGGGCCCUGGGGUGUCCCAGGACCCUCCAUGCCCCCCCUCCUCCCCGCCCCGAGCAGGAUUUGGGGGCAGAGGUCGCAGCUCCCACUGGAACAGGACUGGUCAGUGAUGGAGGGGACAGAGCCGAGUGCGGGGACAGCUGCCCCCCCGGGGGUCUGGCCCCGCUCUGGGCGGCGCUGGAGGGGCUGGUCCAGCGCUGCGUCCCUGUGCAGUGCCGCCCAGCCACCGAUGAGGAGCUGCUGCUGGUGCACAGGUGG
rnacentral:lncRNA from 1 species